rnacentral:rRNA from 1 species
GUAGGUGGCAAGCGUUGUCCGGAAUUAUUGGGCGUAAAGCGCGCGCAGGCGGUUCUUUAAGUCUGAUGUGAAAGCCCACGGCUCAACCGUGGAGGGUCAUUGGAAACUGGAGAACUUGAGUACAAAAGAGGAAAGCGGAAUUCCACGUGUAGCGGUGAAAUGCGUAGAGAUGUGGAGGAACACCAGUGGCGAAGGCGGCUUUCUGGUCUGUAACUGACGCUGAGGCGCGAAAGCGUGGGGAGCAAACAGGGAUUAGAUACCCUGGUAGUCCACGCCGUAAACGAUGAGUGCUAAGUGUUAGGGGGUUUCCCGCCCCCUUAGUGCUGCAGCUAACGCAUUAAGCACUCCGCCUGGGGAGUACGGCCGCAAGGCUG